rnacentral:rRNA from 1 species
GACAGAGGGUGCUAGCGUUGUUCGGAAUUACUGGGCGUAAAGGGCGCGUAGGCGGCUUGUUUAGUCGGGUGUGAAAUCCCGGGGCUCAACCCCGGAACUGCAUUCGAUACUGGCAGGCUAGAGACCGGAAGAGGUGGGUGGAAUACCCAGUGUAGAGGUGAAAUUCGUAGAUAUUGGGUGGAACACCGGUGGCGAAGGCGGCUCACUGGUCCGGUUCUGACGCUGAGGCGCGAAAGCGGUGGGGAGCAAACAGG